AUUCUUUUCUCUUUUUCUUGAAUUCCUGAUCUAAACUUUCCCUUGUUUAUUUUGUUUCUGAGGGAGUUGUCUGCACAUAGGAAGAGAGAGUAAGUCCCGAAGCUUGUGAUAUGAGACAAUGAAGUGGUUUCUUCCUCACAUAAGGCACUGUAAAUGGUCUAGAAAUGGAUAGGGCGGCUGCAUGCACCAAAUGAUCACCUGUAGGUCAUGGCUAUCUACAUCACGAAAGCUGUGAGGACGAGCCAUCCAAUCCUUCUCCUAGCCUCAUAUGAUGUACCAUCAGUUCAUCCUCGUGAUGAUUUAGCUGCUACCUUGAAUGCCUAUUGCUAGAAGUUCUCACAAAGGGAUAUUGGUGUCAAGUUUCAUCACCGAAAUAUAUAUUUUGUCCGUGAGAGAAGAAACUUGUCACGAGUUAAACUCCUCAAACACACGGACACACACAAUGCCAUAGAGUGUCAGGUCAACACACUCCACCAUGCUCACAAGGAAGGAAGAAAACAAGGCAUGGUAGAAGAAAGCAAUGAUAAGCUCCAUGAUUGUUCCAGCCACAAGCCAGAAUGAGUGCUCCACCACCUAACGCUGCCAGAACAAAUCAUUGUCCUCGUGAAUCUAAGCUUGUGGAAUCGACAGUUCGGCCUUCUUGGCUUAUACUGCGUCAUAUAUUUCAGCCUCUGCUCAAUGAAUAGGAACACAAGCCAGUUGUGUUGCAUCUGUACAUGCGAGAUAUACUCCCAAGUGUAGAACUCAAGUUUCAAUCUUUUCUUUUAGGUUCUGUUGUUUGAUGUAUAAACAUAAACUUGGUUCAACCAAUGGUA